UACGAAGGGGGCUAGCGUUGUUCGGAAUUACUGGGCGUAAAGCGCGCGUAGGCGGUUACUCAAGUCGGAUGUGAAAGCCCUCGGCUUAACUGAGGAAGUGCACCCGAAACUGAGUAGCUAGAGUACUAAAGAGGGUCGCGGAAUUCCCGGUGUAGAGGUGAAAUUCGUAGAUAUCGGGAGGAACACCGGUGGCGAAGGCGGCGACCUGGGUAGAUACUGACGCUGAGGCGCGAAAGCGUGGGGAGCAAACAGG
rnacentral:rRNA from 1 species